AUGAACGCUAGCGACAGGCUUAACACAUAGCAAGUCGAGGGGUAACGAGGUAGCAAUACCGCUGACGACCGGCGCACGGGUGAGUAACGCGUAUGCAACCUGCCUAUAACUGGGGAAUAGCUCCCUGAAAGGGGAAUUAACACCGCAUAACACUAUUGAUUCGCAUGGAUUGGUAGUUAAAUGUAGCGAUACAGGUUAUAGAUGGGCAUGCGUGACAUUAGCUAGUUGGUGAGGUAACGGCUCACCAAGGCUACGAUGUCUAGGGGUUCUGAGAGGAAGGUCCCCCACACUGGUACUGAGACACGGACCAGACUCCUACGGGAGGCAGCAGUGAGGAAUAUUGGUCAAUGGGCGCAAGCCUGAACCAGCCAUGUCGCGUGCAGGAAGACUGCCCCUAUGGGUUGUAAACUGCUUUUAUAGUAGAAGAAACACAUCUACGUGUAGAUGUCUGCCAGUAUACUAUGAAUAAGCAUCGGCUAACUCCGUGCCAGCAGCAGC
rnacentral:rRNA from 1 species